CGGACGGGUGAGUAACGCGUGGAAAACCUGCCGUAUACUGGGGAUAACACUUAGAAAUAGGUGCUAAUACCGCAUAAGCGCACAGCUUCGCAUGAAGCGGUGUGAAAAACUCUGGUGGUAUACGAUGGUUCCGCGUCUGAUUAGCUAGUUGGUGGGGUAAUGGCCUACCAAGGCAACGAUCAGUAGCCGGCCUGAGAGGGUGAACGGCCACACUGGUACUGAGACACGGACCAGACUCCUACGGAAGGCAGCAG
rnacentral:rRNA from 1 species